UCCCAGCAGUCCAAGUGGUAGCCACAAUUAUUAGGUCUAAAACAUUCGUAGCUGGUUUGACAAGUUUCUUGUGAAAUGUUGCUGCUUAACGGCAACGCGUGCAAGAAAUACUAUCGAGCUAGAGAUCGGGAGAUGUAAGAAGUACGUUCGAGGUAGCGGUAAAAUGUUUUAAUCUCGGACGGACUAACAACAGCGAAGGCAUCUUACAAGAACGAUUCUGACAGUGAGGAAUGAAGGCCAGGGGC
rnacentral:rRNA from 1 species